rnacentral:rRNA from 1 species
UGAUUAUGGCUCAGGAUCAACGCUGGCGGCGUGCCUAAUGCAUGCAAGUCGAACGGAGCCAUCUUCGGAUGGUCACGUGGCGGACGGGUGAGGAACACGUGGGCGAUCUGCCCUGAGAUGGGGGAUAGCCACCAGAAAUGGUGGGUAAUACCGCAUGAGCUUGGUGGUUUCCGGAUCAUCAAGGAAAGUCGCAAGACGUCUUAGGAGGAGCCUGCGGCGGAUUAGCUCGUUGGUGGGGUAACGGCCUACCAAGGCGAUGAUCCGUAGCUGGUCUGAGAGGAUGGCCAGCCACAGGGGAACUGAGACACGGUCCCCACUCCUACGGGAGGCAGCAGCAAGGAAUUUUCCGCAAUGGGCGCAAGCCUGACGGAGCAACGCCGCGUGGGGGAUGACGCUUUUCGGAGUGUAAACCUCUUUUCUCAGGGAAGAAGGAAGUGACGGUACCUGAGGAAGAAGGACCGGCUAACUACGUGCCAGCAGCCGCGGUAAUACGUAGGGUCCGAGCGUUGUCCGGAGUUACUGGGCGUAAAGCGCGCGCAGGUGGCUCGAUAAGACUGGCGUGAAAGCCCCCGGCUCAACCGGGGAGGGUCGUUGGUGACUGUCGGGCUUGAGGGCAGCAGGGGCAGGUGGAAUUCCCGGUGUAGUGGUGAAAUGCGUAGAGAUCGGGAGGAACACCCGUGGCGAACGCGGCCUGCUGGGCUGACCCUGACACUGAGGCGCGAAGGCGUGGGGAGCGAACGGGAUUAGAUACCCCGGUAGUCCACGCAGUAAACGAUGCCGACUACGCGUGGGAGGACUUGACCCCUUCCGUGCCGGAGCCAACGCGGUAAGUCGGCCGCCUGGGGAGUACGGCCGCAAGGCUAAAACUCAAAGGAAUUGACGG